rnacentral:rRNA from 1 species
UCUUGUACUCACCGCCCGUCAACUCAAGGGAGAUGGGAGUACCCGAAGGGUCGCUUAUGCGGCAUCACGGUAAGCUCAUCGACAGGGAGU